rnacentral:rRNA from 1 species
GUCUAUGGUCAUACCACCCUGAACACAUCUGAUGUUGUCUGAUCUUGGAAGCUACCCAGUGUGAGGCCUGCUUAGCACUUGGAUGGGAGUCCCUUAGAUUUGUUACCUUAAAUC